rnacentral:rRNA from 1 species
AGUGAACGCUGGCGGUAGGCCUAACACAUGCAAGUCGAACGGCAGCACAGUAAGAGCUUGCUCUUACGGGUGGCGAGUGGCGGACGGGUGAGGAAUACAUCGGAAUCUACUUUUUCGUGGGGGAUAACGUAGGGAAACUUACGCUAAUACCGCAUACGACCUACGGGUGAAAGCAGGGGAUCUUCGGACCUUGCGCGAUUGAAUUAGCCGAUGUCGGAUUAGCUAGUCGGCGGGGUAAAGGCCCACCAAGGCGACGAUCCGUAGCUGGUCUGAGAGGAUGAUCAGCCACACUGGAACUGAGACACGGUCCAGACUCCUACGGGAGGCAGCAGUGGGGAAUAUUGGACAAUGGGCGCAAGCCUGAUCCAGCCAUACCGCGUGGGUGAAGAAGGCCUUCGGGUUGUAAAGCCCUUUUGUUGGGAAAGAAAAGCAGCAGGUUAAUACCCCGCUGUUCUGACGGUACCCAAAGAAUAAGCACCGGCUAACUUCGUG